rnacentral:lncRNA from 1 species
GCAAUCAUUUAACUGAUAAUAUUCACAUAUAAUAUUCAGUAAACACAAGAUCCAAUAUAUGUGCGAUCAUUUAUCUGAUCUUGUGUUUGCUGAAAAUAUGAAAAAAAAACACUGCAGUGCUGCGUCCUAAGCUCACAGAAAGGGAGAGCAAAACGCUAGGAGCAGGAAUGUCUUUUCCCCUUCACUCUCUAUGCUGGCCAGCUGAUGUGGACUGCCACCAAGGCAAAUAUGGUAUAUAUGUAUCGAAUUCGUAAUUCUGAUGGUAAAAAUGUAUUUACUAUUCUAAAAUUGGUAUUUAGAGAGGUGCCAAACUUAAUAAAAGUUAUAUAUCCCAUCGGGCGCCGGAGGACGUCCGUUGCGGGUGCAGCGGACAGCCGUGCGUUGGCGGCGAUGGGAGCCGCGAGGCCGUGGGCUGCUUGGGCCGGGAAAAAUACUCGUGUAGGAGUACCGCUGAAUCAUCCUGACAGCGGAUUCUUCAUGGAGGAUGAACGGGCUGAAACCUGAAAGCGUCGUCUCCUCGUAGGCUGUCGGGCCCAAGCAAAAACCUGACAUAAUAAUCUGGCCCAAGCAAAUAUGUAAGAGAAAACAAAACAAAACAAAUAACCGCAACAAAACAAACAAGAUAAACAAAUUACCUGACAUAAUAAUCUGGCCCAAACAAAACAACAAGAUAAACAGUAGGAGAAAAACAAUAACUGCAACACCUAACAAAAGCAAACAUGUAAGAGUAAGUAUAGUAAGAACUCAAAAAAAAAAUGACCGUAGAUGGGUUGUAUGCUAAGAUGGAGAAGAGAGGGAAUGGGAGAAAACAGAAGCAAGUUAUAAAU